GUGAGGAUAUUAUAUGACAUAUUAUUUGAUAACAUGUGAGUGUUAGUGUGUGUAAUAGUGAGUGUGGUUGGAGCAGUGAUACGUGGCGCUGGGGAGGGAGAGCGGGUGGCUGGCUGGCUGGCUACAUUGUUUUGGUCAACACUGGUCAGUCUUGCCCCACACGCUCUUUUAACCAGUGUUUCCGUAUUCCCGGCAGCUUUUCCCUGUACCGAGCACCGCCAAGCAGCACCAGAGAGGCACGAAUACGUAAGGUCCCCUGUCCGUACCACUGUCCGUACCGCAUGGUGCUGCCUCGCGCGGCUCACAUCUAGCUGGUACCCCUCGUGAAUUGUAGAAGGGACCGGAAUCCAAACAAAACCACGACGCAGGGCGCAGUGGCAGACGCUCAACCCAUCCCUCGCAGCCGGUAGUCUGAAGACGUCCUGGUAUGACUACACCCCUCGCCUGGGGAGGGCAACGGCUGUGCUAACACGGAAGGAUGUCAGCGCUGCAGCGGCAAUCUGGGGAAUCGGCGCCUCCACUCAGCUCCUCAGGCGGGCGUGGCAUCGUCGGGGCGUAGCUGUUAUGUGUGUCAUGCGCAACACCCACGUCACUCAGCCACCCACCCAUCACCCAGAGUACUUUUUCCCUGAGACUGCUAGUGGUGCCGCCAGACGAGUAAGGUCAAAAUACUGGUGAAGGGAAGACGAGUACAUGCGUGCUGGCGGCGCCGAAGCGGGUCAAGGGCUGCCAGACAAACAAGGAGAGGGGUCCGCUUUUUAGAACGUCUGUGGCCCCGAGGAGCUUUCCAAAAGCAGGGCUGGGCGGGAACCUUUUCCGGAACCGGUUCCGACAGUUCCUUCAGGCACCGUUAGGAACCGGUUCCGCCUUAACGAUUCCAAAUGAUUGCUGAUGGCAGAUAC